UUCUCGGGUGAAGGUGAAACGUCUUCAAGUAACUUAAAGAAGUCCAGACGCUUUUCUUUGCAAGCUCCUUUGACAUUUAAAUGCAGUUUUGAGUUUUUGGAUCCAUCCAUCAUGCAUCUGCAAGACUAAUCGAAGGAUUCUGACUUUGUGUUAUUAAAAGGUUAAAAGAGCAGCUUAGUGCUGACUUGGUUCAUCUACAGCACUGCUUAAGUUUAAAGUAGUGCACGAUGUUUGCCUGCUGCAGAGAACCUGUUGCGUUCAUGCUCAGUGUUACAUCUUGUUAAAUUCACAAAGAGCAGCAGCAACACAAGUCAGUCGAUCACAGCCUGUAAAUCAAAAUGAAUGGAGCUUAUUUCGGUUUCCCCACACUCCAGCCGCACAGCUGAUCUGAGAGUUUUACACCUGCCAAAUCCCACUUUAAUCCCCGACUGUGUUCUUUUACUAUUUCGGUGUUUCAGCAGUCACGAGGCUCAGUUUACAUUUCUGUGCAUUUUCACUUUUACUUAAGAAGUUUAAUCAGCAGUUUUCACCACGAGUGUCCGUCGUUCUCCUAAAGUGACGACUGUCUGCGGUUUUGCCUCCUCUGCAUAUUUGAUGCCACAGUAUUUGUGACUCACUCAAGCUAGAAACUGAUAAAGUGUUACCGAAGCAUCUGUAAGGAUCUAAAACUUUAAUAUGGACGAUGUUUAUUUGUUUUUAUAACAUGACUUCAUCACAUGGAAAAGUCUCUCCGCAAAGAAAAAUGACGCGUAGAAUCAUAAUUUAUGGAGAAACUGUUACCUGUAGCUGUCAUAUAGGAGUAAGGACUGCACUUUUCUAUGAUCUACCUUUAAUUUAUUAAAUGUUUAUUUAUUUCAGGACUGAACUAAGGGUGUAAUAUUUGCUCCGGGGACCUAGAGCAGUUCAUUUACUCGACACAUGGAGUUCAGAGGAUGACUAAACCUGCUGAACUAAACGAGUGUGACUGCACAGCUGUGCAGCAGCGGACUCUGACUGAACUGUAGUGAAUGUGCUGGACUGUCCUGAACUACAAUAAACGGAGUUAAAAUGCAAACAUGUCAGCAUCGCUUGACAUUCAAGGAAGAUCAAACAGCGUCUGGAUCUUCUUCUUCUGUGGUGUAUAUGGACGACUACCGGACGUUAGCAGGAUGCACCAUGGACACAGUUUGCAUCAGUGUUUACAGACUCUUAAAAAUCGCUGUGGUGGUUGGAUCUCAUUCAGCUUGUAAAUGUGCUCGCGUGGCUGCAGAGCCUUUGGAGGAAGUGGCCGCUGUUCCUGGGAGGCAGACGUUACUGAUGAAUGUACUUUCUCGUGGAAUGUGCUCUGUCGUCUGCUUUCACCCACUCGCCACACUCCCCGUUUUUCAUUUAGCGUCGAACAGCAAAGCUCAUUUGCAUGCUUGGAUACCAAACGGUCCACAGGAAGGAAGCAACUUUCAUAUCGGACGUCUGGUAAAAUAUUACCAAGCGUCUGUCACUGCAGCUGCAAUCAGGUGUGUCCGAGUGCUGUUUUUCUUUUUUUACCACUCUCUCUUUCUAGUGGAGGUUCUCGCUGUCUUACUGUGGACUUGUUGGUCUUAUUCAUUAUUUGAACUAAAAAUAGCUGAUGAUGGUUAGAGGAAGACUGCAGACUUCCCCAGUUUUUUUUGACCUCUCAUGCAAAAUAAAUCGAUCGAUAAAUAAAA